rnacentral:rRNA from 1 species
GGAGGGGGGGCUAGCGUUGUUCAGAAUUACUGGGCGUAAAGGGCGCGUAGGGCGGCCUGUCAAGUCAGGGCGUGAAAGGGCCCGGGCUCAACCCGGGAACUGCCCUUGAAACUGGCAAGCUAGAGUCCGAGAGAGGAUGGCGGAAUUCCCAGUGUAGAGGUGAAAUUCGUAGAUAUUGGGAAGAACACCGGUGGCGAAGGCGGCCAUCUGGCUCGGUACUGACGCUGAGGCGCGAAAGCGUGGGGAGCAAACAGGAUUAGAUACCCUGGUAGUCCACGCCGUAAACGAUGUGUGCUAGACGUUGGAGGUCUUAGGCCUUCGGUGUCGCAGCUAACGCGUUAAGCACACCGCCUGGGGAGUACGGCCGCAAGGUUA